AUAAAGGGAAGGAAAAAGUGGUCGAAUAGCCGUUGAAGCCGUCAAGCGACAUCCGAGAUUUUGCUCGUUAGCGAUCGGAUUCGGGAUCAUUAAAGUCGAAGUCAUCUACACUAUCAAAGCCUCCAUUUUGAUAUGGAUAACUCAAAUUUAAAGCUAGAUCGAGGAAAAGAAAAAGUUUCGGAUUAGUGGAUAUUCAUACAUAAACAAGUGUCGAGUGCUUGGGAAGCUCAUAAAUGUUGCAGAUCGGUCGGAGUAUCAUCACACUAUCCACAAGUUUGUUUUGGUAUAAAAUGUAAUCUUAUUUUGGUAUAAUGGAAUGUAUAGGUUUACUUGGCCAAUGUUGGCAAGUACAUGGUUGUCUGUAAUUUAUCCAUUGGAAUGGCUAAUAAUGGUUUGUUUAGUAUAUUAAUAUGAGGUUAUAUAUAUCAUGUUUAACAUAUAUGCAUGCAGUUGGUUGAUGGAAUUAGGAUAAAAUAUA